AUGUUUCCCGAGAGAGACUGCCUUCUCUCAGGCCAGCAGUCUUAUACUUAUAGUCGACUGCUCUAUGACGAUCUGACCUCUUUCCUG
rnacentral:rRNA from 1 species